GACGAACGCUGGCGGCGUGCUUAACACAUGCCAGUCGAACGGAAAGGCCCUGCUUGCAGGGUACUCGAGUGGCGAACGGGUGAGUAACACGUGGGUGAUCUGCCCUGCACUUCGGGAUAAGCCUGGGAAACUGGGUCUAAUACCGGAUAGGAGCCAUUUUUAGUGUGAUGGUUGGAAAGUUUUUUCGGUGUAGGAUGAGCUCGCGGCCUAUCAGCUUGUUGGUGGGGUAAUGGCCUACCAAGGCGGCGACGGGUAGCCGGCCUGGGGGGGUGGACGGCCACAUUGGGACUGGGGUACGGCCCAGACUCCUACGGGAGGCAGCAGUGGGGAAUAUUGCACAAUGGGCGCAAGCCUGAUGCAGCGACGCCGCGUGGGGGAUGACGGCCUUCGGGUUGUAAACUCCUUUCGCUAGGGACGAAGCUUUUUGUGACGGUACCUAGAUAAGAAGCACCGGCUAACUACGUG
rnacentral:rRNA from 1 species